rnacentral:lncRNA from 1 species
UGUCAAGAAGAUGAAUUCCCUUUUUUUUUUGUGUCUCCUCCCCUUUUUUAUCAAUCAAAAAUCUGCUGAAUAUGUCCCUUUGUAUGUGUAUAUAUGAGGUGAGGGUGGGGUAGUAGUGAGGUAGGUGGGGUCACGUGGGGUAGGAGGUAGGGUGUGAUGUGGUUUUGAUUGGAUGGGUUGUUGGGAUAGGGUAGGUAGGUGUUGUUUUUUAAUUGGAGAGAUAAGGGUUAGGUGUCUAUUUUUGUUUGGGUAGGU